GACGAACGCUGGCGGCGUGCCUAAUACAUGCAAGUCGAACGCUUCUUUCCUCCCGAGUGCUUGCACUCAAUUGGAAAGAGGAGUGGCGGACGGGUGAGUAACACGUGGGUAACCUACCCAUCAGAGGGGGAUAACACUUGGAAACAGGUGCUAAUACCGCAUAACAGUUUAUGCCGCAUGGCAUAAGAGUGAAAGGCGCUUUCGGGUGUCGCUGAUGGAUGGACCCGCGGUGCAUUAGCUAGUUGGUGAGGUAACGGCUCACCAAGGCCACGAUGCAUAGCCGACCUGAGAGGGUGAUCGGCCACACUGGGACUGAGACACGGCCCAGACUCCUACGGGAGGCAGCAGUAGGGAAUCUUCGGCAAUGGACGAAAGUCUGACCGAGCAACGCCGCGUGAGUGAAGAAGGUUUUCGGAUCGUAAAACUCUGUUGUUAGAGAAGAACGAGGACGUUAGUAACUGAACGUCCCCUGACGGUAUCUAACCAGAAAGCCACGGCUAACUACGUG
rnacentral:rRNA from 1 species